GAAAUGCGAUACGCAAUGCGAAUUGCAGAACCGUGAGUCAUCAGAUUUUUGAACGCAAGUGGCGGCAGCUUCGGCUGUCAUGUUUGUUUCAGUGUGCCCGGUUAAUUACAUCAUAGAGUAUAAUGUGAUUGAAACCAUUCUCUCACAAAAUACGGAGCACUGUCAGUGUGCACACCUAACGAACUAGUCACUAACAGGUGAUAAUCGUUUAGGAAAGUGUAACCUGGUGAAUCAUUGCUCGAAACUUAAAUUAUCCAAUUAUGACACCUGAAAUAAGCAAGAAGACCUGCUGAACUUAA
rnacentral:misc_RNA from 1 species